rnacentral:rRNA from 1 species
GAUGAAAGCUGGCGGCGUGCUUAACACAUGCAAGUCGAACGAAGCACUUUAUUUGAUUUCCUUCGGGACUGAUUAUUUUGUGACUGAGUGGCGGACGGGUGAGUAACGCGUGGGUAACCUGCCUUGUACAGGGGGAUAACAGUUGGAAACGGCUGCUAAUACCGCAUAAGCGCACGGCAUCGCAUGAUGCAGUGUGAAAAACUCCGGUGGUAUAAGAUGGACCCGCGUUGGAUUAGCUAGUUGGUGAGGUAACGGCCCACCAAGGCGACGAUCCAUAGCCGACCUGAGAGGGUGACCGGCCACAUUGGGACUGAGACACGGCCCAAACUCCUACGGGAGGCAGCAGUGGGGAAUAUUGCACAAUGGGCGAAAGCCUGAUGCAGCGACGCCGCGUGAGCGAAGAAGUAUUUCGGUAUGUAAAGCUCUAUCAGCAGGGAAGAUAAUGACGGUACCUGACUAAGAAGCACCGGCUAAAUACGUG